GGGGGCGACUUGGCUUCGACGUGGGUCGCAAAACCCGAGGUGCAUGCCGAGGUGCGGGAUACCUCGUAAAACCAUCCGCAAAUCAAUAGUUGCCAACGACGACAACUACGCCCUCGCUGCUUAAUCCCAGCGGGCCUCACACCGUCACUUGCCUGUGGGCGGCGGAUUCGUGGGGUAACCUUACACAGGAUCGCGAUGACGGGGGCCCGGACCUGAUUCGCUAAAACCCCAAAUUCGGGAUCGCCGACCAAUCGCCCUGUCCCUCGGGCGGUGGAAGGUUAAACACAAUAGAGCGGACUAAGCAUGUAGUACCGACGGCGGAGGGCUCGCGGACGCGGGUUCGAUUCCCGCCGCCUCCACCA
rnacentral:tmRNA from 1 species